AAUGACGCAUGACUGCAGGUGCUUCAGAGCGCCAUUAUCAUCACAUAUCAAAAUAAACAUCGUUAUCAGUUUCAAGCUGAUGGGUCUGCCCCAACCAGGAGUGAUGGACUGAAGAAUUUUCAAUGCUCUUAUCCUGUUUUAUUGUACUUUUAUUUUUCUUCUUAUGAUCAAUAAAAAAAGUUGUUUCACAAA